UACAGAGGUCUCAAGCGUUGUUCGGAUUCAUUGGGCGUAAAGGGUGCGUAGGCGGCGCGGUAAGUCGGGUGUGAAAUCUCGGAGCUUAACUCCGAAACUGCAUUCGAUACUGCCGUGCUUGAGGACUGGAGAGGAGACUGGAAUUUACGGUGUAGCGGUGAAAAUGCGUAGAUAUCGUAAGGAAGACCAGUGGCGAAGGCGGGUCUCUGGACAGUUCCUGACGCUGAGGCACGAAGGUCAGGGGAGCAAA
rnacentral:rRNA from 1 species